AUUGAACGCUGGCGGCAGGCCUAACACAUGCAAGUCGAGCGGAGCGGCGGACGGGUGCGUAAUGCCUAGGCAUCUUCCUGGUAGUGGGGGAUAACGUCCGGAAACGGGCGCUAAUACCGCAUACUAUCAGAUGAGCCUCGGUCGGAUUGGCAAGUUGGUGGGGUAAAGGCCUACCAAGGCGACGAUCCGUAAUUGGUCUGAGAGGAUGAUCAGUCACACUGGAACUGAGACACGGUCAAGAAUCCAAGGGGAGGAAGCAGUGGGGAGUAUUGGACAAUGGGCAAAGGCCUGAUCCAGCAAUGCCGCGUGUGUGAAGAAGGUCUUCGGAUUGUAAAGCACUUGAAGUUGGGAGGCGUUACCAACAGAAUAAGCACCGGCUAACUACGUGCCAGCAGCCGCGGUAAUUC
rnacentral:rRNA from 1 species